rnacentral:lncRNA from 1 species
GACGUUAUCAAUGAGGAAAUUUACAGUUUAGAAUAAUUUUUUAAGUUGAAUUUGGAUUCAAUCAAUCAUUAUUUUGUACAAUAUUUGCUAAUCUAAUUUUAACACAAAUUAAUACUGCCUCAUUUUACAAUUUUGUCACCUGCAUUAGUCACAAUUAAUUAGAUUUUGUAAUUGUGCUUCUAGUUAGGUGUGAUAUGAAACCUCAUGGCAACUGAAGUGCUAUAGGACAAGCAGAUUUUAGUAAUCUUAUAUGAACUUGGGCAAUACUCUGUAAAUGUUUCCUGUAGGUGCUUUUGUGUAAUAGACAUGUUUCUUAGAUUUUCCUUAGUUUUGUGUACUUUAAAUAUUUAGAUUUCUAGCAUACCCAAGGUUCUCAUGAUAUUAUGAAGCUGUAUGUGUUGUAUAUAAUUAUUUUUCAAAAGAACUACUGUGCAAUGUGUUUUUUUCAUGCAUUAUGGAUGCUCAUAUUAUAACACCUGUGGCCUUAUAUGGUAUUUGAAUUAGGAGCAGACUUUUUAAAAUUGUAGCAUAGUCAUAUGCCUUUAUUUUUAUUGGACAUAUAAUACUUAUUUGUUGUAGAAAAAUCUAGUAAAUCUUAGAUAGAUCUUACAUGAAGAAUUUUUAAACUAUUUGUUUUUAUUUCAAGCUAUUCCAGUAAGUUUUUCUUUAUAAUUCAGUUGGUAAUUCUGUUGAACCUUUAAAAGUGGUGCACUUUAAAAUUAAAGA